rnacentral:rRNA from 1 species
AUUGAACGCUGGCGGCAGGCCUAACACAUGCAAGUCGAACGAGUGGCGGACGGGUGAGUAAUGUCUGGGAAACUGCCCGAUGGAGGGGGAUAACUACUGGAAACGGUAGCUAAUACCGCAUACCAUCGGAUGUGCCCAGAUGGGAUUAGCUAGUAGGUGGGGUAACGGAUCACCUAGGCGACGAUCCCUAGCUGGUCUGAGAGGAUGACCAGCAAGAGUGGAACUGAGACACUGGCCAGAGUCCAACGGGAGGCAGAAGUGGGGAAUAUUGCAGAAUGGGCGAAAGGGUGAUGCAGCCAUGCGGCGUGUAUGAAGAAGGGGUUGGGGGUGUAAAGUACUUGCAGCGGGGAGGCGUUACCCGAAGAAGAAGCACCGGCUAACUCCGUGCCAGCAGCCGCGGUAAUAC